UACGUAGGGUGCAAGCGUUGUCCGGAAUUAUUGGGCGUAAAGAGCUCGUAGGCGGUUUGUCGCGUCGGCUGUGAAAUCCCGAGGCUCAACCUCGGGCCUGCAGUCGAUACGGGCAAACUAGAGUGUGGUAGGGGAGACUGGAAUUCCUGGUGUAGCGGUGAAAUGCGCAGAUAUCAGGAGGAACACCGGCGGCGAAGGCGGGUCUCUGGGCCGAUACUGACGCUGAGGAGCGAAAGCGUGGGGAGCGAACAGG
rnacentral:rRNA from 1 species